GAUGAAGAACGUAGCGAAAUGCGAUAAGUAAUGCGAAUUGCAGAAUUCCAGUGAGUCAUCGAAUCUUUGAACGCACAUUGCGCCCUUUGGUAUUCCGAAGGGCAUGCCUGUUCGAGCGUCAUUAUCACCCCUCAAGCCCCCGGCUUGGUGUUGGACGGCUUGGUGGAGACCCUUUUGUGGCCCACCCCUCCCAAAGACAAUGACGGCGGCCUCGUUGGACCCCCGGUACACUGAGUUCUUCACGGGACACGUAUCGGACACACGGGUUUACGGGUCACGAUCUGCCUCCCCUCAGGGAGAACUUUUCUAAGGUUGACCUCGGAUCAGGUAGGGAUACCCGCUGAACUUAAGCAUAUCAAUAAGCGGAGGA
rnacentral:misc_RNA from 1 species